ACCCCAUUUCCCUUUGGUCCUCGGUGAGAAAUCCGUGCUUUCUUCUCUACUCUUAAUAAGGCUGCACCAUAGGACUUGCAGGCUUCUGUAGUUGGAGAGCUGUUCUCCUUUGCAGGGAAGUUCCUGGGCUUUGCUCCAAAGCUGCCCCGGAAUGUUUUGGUUGGUUUGGAGAAAAGCUGUGGCGUCUACACCACUUGUUCCAAGCAGGCGGCCCCCUGGUGGCUAACUGGGGGUGAAAAAGCUGGCCAGUGAGGAGGAAGUCUGGCGCAGAUGUUAAAACUUAGGAAGGCUAAAACUUAGGAAGAUCAAAUAAUCUGCUCAAGCUCAGGCCUGGGUACUGGGUGACAGAGGGUAUACUCUUAACCAGCUCAUCAUGCUACCUGCAUGCAACACAAGGAGUUAUUGGAUAGGCACAUGAGGCUGGAAAAGGUAGAAGAUUCUGAGGCCCUGGGCGGGAACUAGUAAGCCACAAUCUGGAAGAGUCUUUUAUCACCAUGUGGAGACCUAGAGCAUUCAUGUUGAACUAUUACUGAGAUAAGCAAUCAACUUCUUUUGUGUUAAGUCACUGAAAGUAAAAUUUCUAGCUGGACAUAUGGCUCCCCAGAAUGAAGUCUGUGCUCCCUAGCAUCCCUUCAGCAUCUUUGGGGCUACUGGAUAAAUUCUGAGCAAUGGACAUAUAUAGAAGUGUUAUGUGGUUGCAUCUGGGAAGUUUCUUUAUGCUUUGUCCCUUAUUUUUCACCCUCCUCUUCCUGAUGGCUGAACAUUUGUACAAUGGCCAGACCUGGAGAAAACAUCCUGGGGAACCUUGGGAAUGGAGGUCCAGCCUUGGGGAGCAACAAAGUCAGAGGAUCCUAAAUUUCAUG
rnacentral:lncRNA from 1 species